GCCUGGGUGGCUCAGUCGGUUGAGCAUCCGACUUCAGCUCGGGUCAUGAUCUCAUGGUUCAGGAGUUCGAGCCCCGUGUCGGGCU
rnacentral:tRNA from 1 species